UGCUUGCAUAUCAAAAAGCUGAGGAAAAGAAACCAACUGGGAUUACCUUAGUAACGGCGAGUGAAGCGGUAAAAGCUCAAAUUUGAAAUCUGGUACUUUCAGUGCCCGAGUUGUAAUUUGUAGAAUUUGUCUUUGAUUAGGUCCUUGUCUAUGUUCCUUGGAACAGGACGUCAUAGAGGGUGAGAAUCCCGUUUGGCGAGGAUACCUUUUCUCUGUAAGACUUUUUCGAAGAGUCGAGUUGUUUGGGAAUGCAGCUCAAAGUGGGUGGUAAAUUCCAUCUAAAGCUAAAUAUUGGCGAGAGACCGAUAGCGAACAAGUACAGUGAUGGAAAGAUGAAAAGAACUUUGAAAAGAGAGUGAAAAAGUACGUGAAAUUGUUGAAAGGGAAGGGCAUUUGAUCAGACAUGGUGUUUUUUGCAUGCACUCGCCUCUCGUGGGCUUGGGCCUCUCAAAAAUUUCACUGGGCCAACAUCAAUUCUGGCAGUAGGAUAAAUCAUUAAGAAUGUAGCUACCUCGGUAGUGUUAUAGCUUAUUGGAAUACUGCUAGCUGGGAUUGAGGACUGCGCUUCGGCAAGGAUGUUGGCAUAAUGGUUAAAUGCCGCCCGUCUUGAAACCACGGGACACAA
rnacentral:rRNA from 1 species